UUAAGAGAGUUUUUUUUCUUUGGUUUUUUAAGAAUUAGUAACCUAAUGAUAUCCUAAUGAUACACCAAACUCAACACCCCAAUGAAAAAUUCCCUCAAAAUAUGAAGAAAAAGACCCCAAGGCCUCUCUCUCUCUCUCGGCCACGCGUCCCAAGCGUUAUCCAAUUUGUCUUUUUUCUUUGUUUGUUUUUUAGAUAAGAAGAAAAAGGAAGGAUAAUUGUUUAAAAAUAUGAC
rnacentral:lncRNA from 1 species